rfam:Arabidopsis thaliana chromosome 3, complete sequence.
AGAUGCGAUCAUACCAGCACUAAUGCACCAGAUACCAUCAGAAAUCCGCAGUUAAGCGUGCUUGGGCGAGAGUAGUACUACGACGUGUGACCUCCAGGAAAGUCCUUGUGUUGCAUAAC